rnacentral:rRNA from 1 species
CCGCGGUAAAACCAGCUCCCCGAGGGGUUCCCACGCAUACUGGGCCUAAAGCGUCCGUAGCCGGCCCUGUAAGUCUGCAGUUAAAUCCGCCUGUAGACAGGCGGGUUGCUGCAGAUACUGCAGGGCUAGGGAGCGGGAGGAGCCGGGGGUAUUCCCGGGGGAGCGGUAAAAUGCGUAGAUCCCGGGAGGACCACCAGUGGCGAAGGCGCCCGGCUUGAACGCGUCCGACGGUGAGGGACGAAAGCUGGGGGAGCAAACCGGAUUAGAUACCCGGGUAGUCCCAGCCGUAAACGAUGCCGGCUAGGUGCUGGCCAAGGUUUCGGCCUUGGCCAGUGUCGAAGCGAAGGCAUUAAGCCGGCCGCCUGAGGAGUACGGCCGCAAGGCUGAAACGUGAAGGAAUUGACGGGGGGGCACCACAAGGGGUGAAUGCCUGCGGCUUAAUUGGACUCAACGCCGGGAAUCUUACCGGGGGCGACAGCAGGAUGAAGGUCAGGCUGAAGACCUUACCAGACGCGCUGAGGGGUGGUGCAUGGCCGUCGCCAGCUCGUGCCGUGAGGUGUCCUGUUAAGUCAGGCAACGAGCGAGACCCCCGCCCCUAGUUGCCAGCGGCCUCCUUCGGGAGGGACCGGGCAAACUAGGGGGACCGCCUCCGAAGAGGAGGAGGAAGGUGGGGGCUACGGCAGGUCAGUAUGCCCCUAAUCCCCCGGGCCGCACGCGGGCU